AUUGAACGCUGGCGGCAUGCCUUACACAUGCAAGUCGAACGGCAGCACGGGUGCUUGCACCUGGUGGCGAGUGGCGAACGGGUGAGUAAUACAUCGGAACAUGUCCUGUAGUGGGGGAUCGCCCGGCGAAAGCCGGAUUAAUACCGCAUACGAUCUACGGAUGACAGCGGGGGACCUUCGGGCCUCGCGCUAUAGGGUUGGCCGAUGGCUGAUUAGCUAGUUGGUGGGGUAAAGGCCUACCAAGGCGACGAUCAGUAGCUGGUCUGAGAGGACGACCAGCCACACUGGGACUGAGACACGGCCCAGACUCCUACGGGAGGCAGCAGUGGGGAAUUUUGGACAAUGGGCGAAAGCCUGAUCCAGCAAUGCCGCGUGUGUGAAGAAGGCCUUCGGGUUGUAAAGAACUUUUGUCCGGAAAGAAAUCCUUGGCCCUAAUACGGUCGGGGGAUGACGGUACCGGAAGAAUAAGCACCGGCUAACUACGUGC
rnacentral:rRNA from 1 species